rnacentral:misc_RNA from 1 species
GAAAUGCGAUACGUAAUGUGAAUUGCAGAAUUCCGUGAAUCAUCAAAUCUUCGAACGCACCUUGCGCUCCUAUGUAUUCAUGGGAGCAUGCCUGUUUCAGUCUCAGUAUCACCCUCAAAAACGGUAGUUUUUGGACUUGGGCGCUAUCUUGGUGAAGUAUUUCAUCGAGAGGCCUUAAAUAUAUGCAACGACUGGUGUGAUGAAACCUUAGCUGUGAGAUAAAAGGCUUCCGUCUUAUGUUGCGCGGCUAAUUCAUUCCAGUUGUUUCAUUGAUAUCAGAGCUGAUUUAUCGGUCUCUACACCCUUGAGCUGAAAUCAGGCAAGACUACCCGCUGAACUUAA